rnacentral:rRNA from 1 species
AUUGAACGCUGGCGGCAUGCCUUACACAUGCAAGUCGAACGGCAGCACGGGAGCAAUCCUGGUGGCGAGUGGCGAACGGGUGAGUAAUACAUCGGAACGUGCCCAAUCGGGGGGGAUAACGCAGCGAAAGCUGUGCUAAUACCGCAUACGAUCUACGGAUGAAAGCAGGGGACCGCAAGGCCUUGCGCGAAUGGAGCGGCCGAUGGCAGAUUAGGUAGUUGGUGGGGUAAAGGCUCACCAAGCCAACGAUCUGUAGCUGGUCUGAGAGGACGACCAGCCACACUGGGACUGAGACACGGCCCAGACUCCUACGGGAGGCAGCAGUGGGGAAUUUUGGACAAUGGGCGCAAGCCUGAUCCAGCCAUGCCGCGUGCAGGAUGAAGGCCUUCGGGUUGUAAACUGCUUUUGUACGGAACGAAACGGCCUUUUCUAAUAAAGAGGGCUAAUGACGGUACCGUAAGAAUAAGCACCGGCUAACUACGUG